GGUACAUCAAGCCGAGGCAAAGAAUAGAUAAAGGUUGAGCAGAAUCAAAGGGAUCUCAUGGUAAGAGGCAUUCCAGCUCCCAUCUAUUAUUCUAUUCCCCUUUCUUUUUAUAGGACCACGGGUCUUUGAACAUUCAAGCCAAAGUGAAACUAAAGGGCAGGCCGAGGUGAAACCAAAAGUGGAGCCAAGAUAAAGAUUAAGAUUGAACCGAAAGUGAAGACUAUAUUGAGGUCG
rnacentral:lncRNA from 1 species